rnacentral:tRNA from 1 species
GUAGUAGCCUAGUGGACAUGGCAUCUGCCCGGUAAGCGGAACACUGUGGGUUCGAUUCCCAUCCCUGGACA